rnacentral:rRNA from 1 species
GACAGGAGGGUGCAAACGUUUGUUCGGAAUUACUGGGCGUAAAGCGAGUGUAGGCGGUUUGGUAAGUCGGAUGUGAAAGCCCUGGGCUCAACCCAGGAAGUGCAUUCGAUACUGUCAAGCUAGAGUAUCGGAGAGGUUGGUGGAAUUCUCGGUGUAGAGGUGAAAUUCGUAGAUAUCUGGAGGAACACCGGUGGCGAAGGCGGCAUCCUGGACCAACACUGACACUGAGGAGCGAAAGCCAGGGGAGCAAACGGG